rnacentral:lncRNA from 1 species
CGAGUCUGGUCCAUCACAAAAGCAUAAAGUAGCAACACUAGCAGUCUAGUACGCAGCAACAAACACCAACAAGUUUGGUGCACCUUUCAGUUUGCAUAAUUUAAUAAAUUUUAAAGAUAGUAGCAACACGCUACAGGCAGUAGUGAAUGAACAUUCCAGGAGCCCUUCCACCUUGCUGCGUAUGAUGCCUUCAUGAACUUGCAGAGUUUUCCUACAUGCAAAUUUUGAAACAAAGAAAGUAAACUUUCAGGUUUCUCUUACAGUAGUGUAGUAGACCUUAAAUAGGAGAAGGUUUAAUAGACAAAAUGGGCAUUGCAAUAUAAAUAGUACAAGAGAAAGAAAACAAAGUUGCAAAAUUAAAAUUACAAGUCUCGGCCAGUAGCCAAGCACCAACCUGCUAGUUGCUUUCCACAAUAGAUUCGGGAAAUGGAAUGAACUCAACAUCAUCAUCAAUGUCAUCUUCCUACAAAGGGAAAUGUAGUUUCAGUUAGGCAGUCCAUUUAGAAAUAGUAUGUCAAAGCUUAUAAGUAGUAGACAACAAAGAGCAACUAAUAUUACAACUAUGGUUGUAGGCCUAAUGUGGUUUUCUUUUGAUCCUUUGAUGAAGCUAGAAGCACAAACAAGUGCCUCAACCAUGCUUGGGAGUAGAGAACUACGGUAGUCAUCGAGAACUCUACCUCCUGUAGAGAAUGUUGACUCUGAUGAAACACUAGUAGCUGGUAUAGUCAAGAACUUCUUUGCCAUUUUUGCCACAAUAGGAUAUCUAUGAGCAUUCAACCUCCACCAGUCAAGUAAUGUGAAACUUGGAUCAUUAAUGGGAUGAGUCUUGUCUUCAAGAUAAGUAGUCAAUUCAGAUUUGCAUGGCUCCGAAUUUGUCUCCUCGAGAAAGGAUUGAAACCCACUCGACAAUGUGGUCAUAGAUGUAGAUGCUUGCCUACUUGAAAUUGAACUCUGCUCAUUGGUGUUAGAAGCCUCAUGCUGACGAUUUUCCAUCUCAUAUGUGGCAUACAGAUCAAAGAACUCUGUUUUGAUAUCUUCCAUCUCACUACUACCCCCCUCUUUACCAUACAUUUUCUUAAAACAAUAGUCCACAAGUUUCAUCUUAAAUCUCGGAUCAAGAAUGGUGGCAAUCACUUCUUUACCUUUUUUUAUCUUUCCGAUUUUUGUUUUCUGGCACAACAGUGGUAUCCCAAUAUUUAUCGAACUUAUUAAGCAUGGCUUCCCCCAUCAUUUUCAAAUUGUCAUCUCCGGACAUAGCAUGCUCUACUAUAGCAAUCUUAACAUUCAUGAUGUAUGGAUAAAAAAUGUUGGUAGUGGGGUAAGUAGAUCCUGAUAGUAUAGUAGUUACCUCAGCAAAUGAUUUCAAGAUGGGUUGAAUUCUGCCAUAUAGUACCCAAUCUUCAUCAUCGGGCUGGCAUUCAUAAUUAGGAUCUGAUUGUGCAUACUCAUGGAAAGCUUCCUUAUACAAAGUGCAAGCAUCUAUCAUUCUGUAUGUAGAACUCCAUCUAGUUGCUACAUCUAGGCAUAAUCCUUUUCCAACUUUAAUAUUAAGAGACUUGCAAUCUGACAAGAAGUUCGACAUGCGUGAUGGAGAUUUUUUCAAGUACUUGACAGUUUCUCUGAGGUUGCCUAUCAAAGGCUGCAAUGGUUCCAUGCCCUCAUUGACUAUCAAAUUCACUAUGUGUGCGCAGCAUCGAACAUGGAAGUACUUAGAUAUGAAUUUUGCUGAUUUCCUAGCAGUGAACUUGUCCAUCAAUUUCUUAGCAGAAGAAUCAUUCGAGGCAGCAUUAUCCAUGGUCAUUGUCAUGAUCUUAUCUUCUAUUUUCCAUUCUUGGCAGCAUUCAAAACAGCUUGAGCUAUGACAAAGCCUGUGUGAGGUGGGUCUAACUCUAUCAAGUUUAAAACACGACAUUGCAUAACCCAAUUCUCAUCUAUGUAGUGAGCAACAACAGCUAGGUAGGAAAGAUUCUGGUUGGAAGUCCAUAUAUCACUUGUCAAACUAAUGCUCUCAACAGACCUUAGUUGCUUCUUAAGGAUUUCUUUCUCAGAAAGAUACACCUUCAUGCAUUCGGCUCUAAUUUUCUUCCUACCAAUGAACUUGUAUGAUGCAUUCAUAUAUCUCAUGAGGAUAUUAAACCAAGCAUGCUCUACCAUCCUAAAAGGAUAUUCAUGCACAAUUAUCAUCUUUGCUAUGAUUUUGACGACUUGUGCAUGAUCAUAUUCAUGAUUCACUAUAAGAGAUGCACCUGGCUUUUCAGGAUCCAAAUUGAUUGUACCUUGUCGUUGUUGUCUUCCCUUCUUGUUUAGAUAGCCCGCACAAA